GCCGGGUGCGGUGGCUCACGCCUGUAAUCCCGGCACUUUGGGAGGCUGAGGCGGGUGGAUUACUAGAGGUCAGGAAUUCAGGACCAGCCUGACCAACAUGGUGAAACCCCGUCUCUA
rnacentral:SRP_RNA from 2 species